ACUUUUGAUCUUUGUGCGUCAUGAUUUCUUAUUUUUUUGUUUUGCCUGGUUGAAAAUAUUUUGAGAGGAACUUGGUGCUUGGUGGGUCUUGAUAGAGACACUAUGUAUUGUCAGUUGUCACUGUUUCUGUGUCCAAUUUCAACACUUGGACGAUUCGUAGCAUACGCCACGUUUCACCGUCGAGGGGCCUAUACUAGCUAGCGAUGAUUCAAUGGCUACUUGUCACGUGUACCUCUCCAUAGCCUUGCAACAUAGCUAUCGUCUUUAAUAUCUUUGGUCUCAUUCAAAAUAACACUACUUUGGUUCUGUUCUUAACAUGUUUUUUUUCUUCCUAAUACAAUCUUUCAGCCUCAGUUAAUUUAUUUAUACGAACCAAACAAAAUUAACAUCCCGAAAAUGGGGAGGAUUACCACGAACACAAUUGUGAAAAAAAACAAAAAAAAACACGAACACAAAUGAUUUUAGCUUCUUUCUUGCGUUCAGUUGAACACUUUUCUUCAUAGUGAUCGAUUGGUAAAUUCAAGUCAAUACGUUUCAAAACGCUCCAUAUAUUGGAUGCAGUGAAUGCA